AUACGUAGGGGGCGAGCGUUGUCCGGAAUGAUUGGGCGUAAAGGGCGCGUAGGCGGCCCGGUAAGUCUGGAGUGAAAGUCCUGCUUUUAAGGUGGGAAUUGCUUUGGAUACUGUCGGGCUUGAGUGCAGGAGAGGUAAGUGGAAUUCCCAGUGUAGCGGUGAAAUGCGUAGAGAUUGGGAGGAACACCAGUGGCGAAGGCGACUUACUGGACUGUAACUGACGCUGAGGCGCGAAAGUGUGGGGAGCAAACAGGAUUAGAUACCCUGGUAGUCCUCACUGUAAACGAUGAAUGCUAGGUGUAGGGGGUAUCGACCCCUUCUGUGCCGCAGUCAACACAAUAAGCAUUCCGCCUGGGGAGUACGGCCGCAAGGUUGAAACUCAAAUGAAUUGACGGGG
rnacentral:rRNA from 1 species